AGGAUGAACGCUGGCGGCGUGCCUAAUACAUGCAAGUCGAGCGGUAAGGCCCCUUCGGGGGUACACGAGCGGCGGACGGCUGAGUAACACGUAGGAACGUACCCCAAACUGAGGGAUAAGCACCAGAAAUGGUGUCUAAUACCGCAUGUGGUCUUCGGAUUAAAGCUUCGGCGGUUUGGGAACGGCCUGCGCAUGAUUAGCUUGUUGGUGAGGUAAAAGCUUACCAAGGCGACGAUCAUUAGCUGGUCUGAGAGGAUGAUCAGCCAGACUGGGACUGAGAACGGCCCAGACUCCUACGGGAGGCAGCAGUAGGGAAUUUUCCACAAUGGGCGAAAGCCUGAUGGAGCAACGCCGCGUGCAGGACGAAGGCCUUCGGGUUGUAAACUGCUUUUAUAUGUGAAGAUUAUGACGGUAGCAUAUGAAUAAGGAUCGGCUAACUCCGCGCCAGCAGCCGC
rnacentral:rRNA from 1 species